rnacentral:lncRNA from 1 species
AUCCACCCCACCCUUAAACAACAAUAUAUAUAUAUAUAUAUAUAUAUAUAUAUAUAUAGGCUGGGGCUACUAUACUUAUAUGAAUAUAGAGCCCUUUGUACUCAUAAGUUUUCAGCCGUUUAGAUGAAAAAAUAUGCGGUUAUGAUGAAAGUGGUUAUGGUUAAGUUGAUAGUAGGCCCCCUAGGGUUAAGUGGGUGGUUGGUUAAAUAGUAUAAUCUAAUGGAUGAAAAUAAUUAAAUGAUAGAUCUAACGGUCACAAACUUAUGAGUACAAGAAGCUCUAUACUCAUAAGAGUAUAGUAGCCGGACUCUCUCUCUCUCUCUCUCUCUCUCUAUAUAUAUAUAUAUAUAUAUAUAUAUAUAUAUAUAGUAAGCUGGUAUGAUUCUGAAAGCAUGGAGCUUUUCAUAUUUUUAAGCCGUUUUCGAUGUUGGGAUUUUCAAAUUGACGAUCGACUCUGUUAGAGUUGAUCCAGAGUAUUUUAAGUACUCAGAAAAUAAAUUUUGUAAUUUUUCGAUAUCAUUUGCCUAGUGAUCGAAGGGGCUCAAAUUUUUGGUGCUAUCGAUAGUAUCCUUGCUGGACUAUAUAUAUGCACACCCACAUAUACACACGUCCCCAAAUAAAAUAAAACAUAUUUAAAUUCG